CCGAGGGUAGCUCAGCCGGAAGAGCGCUUGGUUGAAGCCCAGGGACAGUCGUCGGUUCAAUUCCGACCCCUCGGACCA
rnacentral:tRNA from 1 species